UACAGAGGGUGCGAGCGUUAAUCGGAAUUACUGGGCGUAAAGCGCACGUAGGUGGCGACGUAAGUCGGGUGUGAAAGCCCCGGGCUCAACCUGGGAAUUGCAUUCGAGACUGCAUUGCUGGAGUACGGAAGAGGAAGGCGGAAUUCCCGGUGUAGCGGUGAAAUGCGUAGAUAUCGGGAGGAACAUCAGUGGCGAAAAGCGACUUCCUGGACCAAUACUGACGCUCAUGUGCGAAAGCGUGGGGAGCAAACAGG
rnacentral:rRNA from 1 species